rnacentral:rRNA from 1 species
ACGAACGCUGGCGGCGUGCUUAACACAUGCAAGUCGAACGGAAAGGCCCUGCUUUUGUGGGGUGCUCGAGUGGCGAACGGGUGAGUAACACGUGAGUAACCUGCCCUUGACUUUGGGAUAACUUCAGGAAACUGGGGCUAAUACCGGAUAGGAGCUCCUGCUGCAUGGUGGGGGUUGGAAAGUUUCGGCGGUUGGGGAUGGACUCGCGGCUUAUCAGCUUGUUGGUGGGGUAGUGGCUUACCAAGGCUUUGACGGGUAGCCGGCCUGAGAGGGUGACCGGCCACAUUGGGACUGAGAUACGGCCCAGACUCCUACGGGAGGCAGCAGUGGGGAAUAUUGCACAAUGGGCGGAAGCCUGAUGCAGCAACGCCGCGUGCGGGAUGACGGCCUUCGGGUUGGAAACCGCUUUCGCCUGUGACGAAGCGUGAGUGACGGUAAUGGGUAAAGAAGCACCGGCUAACUACGUGC